rnacentral:rRNA from 1 species
UACCAGCACCCCGAGUGGUCUGGACGAUUAUUGGGCCUAAAGCAUCCGUAGCCGGUUCUACAAGUCUUCCGUUAAAUCCACCUGCUUAACAGAUGGGCUGCGGAGGAUACUAUAGAGCUAGGAGGCGGGAGAGGCAAGCGGUACUCAGUGGGUAGGGGUAAAAUCCGUUGAUCCAUUGAAGACCACCAGUGGCGAAGGCGGCUUGCCAGAAUGCGCUCGACGGUGAGGGAUGAAAGCUGGGGGAGCAAACCGG